GGUGGUUUUAGCUCAGUUGGUUAGAGCGUCGGAUUGUGGUUCCGAAGGUCGCCGGUUCGAGCCCGGUACUCCACCC
rnacentral:tRNA from 1 species